UUGGCCAGAGCUGGGCAUUGUCUAGAGAAGAGAAGAGAUAGGUAAUAUCGUUAAUCAUACGAGUUCAAAAUAGAACUAGUGGGGUAACGAUUUUUGGUAAUAGUUACUCAUCAUAGAAUUCAACCACUAGGUCAUAUUAUAUACGUAGGUCAUGGUGUCCCAUUUGGCGCCAUUCUAGAAAUGGGAUCAGAACAGAACCAGGACUAGAUAUCUUUUUACAAAACAUGAUCUGAGGCUUAAUCUUUAUUAUAUAAAUAGUGCAAUGGGACUAGAACUAGUAUUUUAAGGGUGUAAAGUGACUGACAAUAUAUGGGACCAGGACUGAGAUAUUUGAG
rnacentral:sRNA from 2 species